rnacentral:rRNA from 1 species
UACGUAGGGUGCAAGCGUUAAUCGGAAUUACUGGGCGUAAAGCGCGCGCAGGCGGCCCUCGCGCGCCCGACGUGAAAAGCCCCCGGCUUAACCGGGGAGGGUCGUUGGGGACGGCGGGGCUUGAGGGCGGGAGAGGGGUGGUGGAAUUCCCGGUGUAGUGGUGAAAUGCGUAGAGAUCGGGAGGAACACCCGUGGCGAAGGCGGCCACCUGGGCCGACCCUGGACGCCUGAGGCGCGAAGGCGUGGGGAGCGAACGGGG